rnacentral:rRNA from 1 species
GUGAGGAAUAUUGGUCAAUGGCCGGGAGGCUGAACCAGCCAAGUCGCGUGAGGGAAGACGGCCCUACGGGUUGUAAACCUCUUUUGUCAGGGAGCAAGAGGCGGGUCGAGACCUGCUGUGAGAGUACCUGAAGAAAAAGCAUCGGCUAACUCCGUGCCAGCAGCCGCGGUAAUACGGAGGAUGCGAGCGUUAUCCGGAUUUAUUGGGUUUAAAGGGUGCGCAGGCGGAGGCACAAGUCAGCGGUAAAAUCGCGGGGCUCAACCCCGCUCCGCCGUUGAAACUGUGUCCCUUGAGUGCGCGAAGGGUAGGCGGAAUGCGUGGUGUAGCGGUGAAAUGCAUAGAUAUCACGCAGAACUCCGAUCGCGAAGGCAGCCUACCGGCGCGCAACUGACGCUCAUGCACGAAAGCGUGGGUAUCGAACAGGAUUAGAAACCCCAGUAGUCC